ACUCGAAAAAAGAAUCUUAGUUCAACCUAAAGUAAUCCGUAAAUAAAAUUACCACUUUAGAGUAAUUCAAAUAAGGUACAGCCUAUUUGAAACAGGAUACAACCUCUGACAACGGCUAAUAACAAAAUAUCUAAUCAAGUGGGCCUAAAAGCAGCCACCUUUGAAGAGCGUCAAAGCCUAAUUUCCCCACACCCCUAAUACCAAAACCCCCACAGAAUCCUUCAUCAGUAUCGAGUACUUCUAUGCCACCAUAGAAACUUUUAUGUUAAAACUAGUAACAAGAAAACACUUCUCUUUAAUGUAAGUAUAAAUCAGAAUGGACUCUCCACUGAUAAUUACACCUUCUAACAACAACUCACCCACGAAAACCCUGCCCCUUAAGCGGUUAACCUUACACAAGAACAUUACAAGAAUGAUUUAAAGAAAAAGAAGGAACUCGGCAAACACUAAUUCCGCCUGUUUACCAAAAACAUCGCCUCCUGAUAAUCAUAAGAGGUCUAGCCUGCCCAGUGACACUAGUUCAACGGCCGCGGUAUCCUGACCGUGCGAAGGUAGCGUAAUCAUUUGUCUUUUAAAUUAAGACUCGUAUGAAAGGCACCACGAGAAUUAAACUGUCUCCUUUUUCUAAUCUAUGAAACUGAUCUCCCCGUGAAGAAGCGGGGAUUUUAAUAUAAGACGAGAAGACCCUAUGGAGCUUCAGACGAAUAAUAAUGCCCUCCCCCUUCCUCACUAAAAUACCAGGGCAUCUUAAUUAUUUAGUCUUGGGUUGGGGCGACCAUGGAGUAAAAAUCACCCUCCAUGCUGAACAGGACCUCCUUAAAUAAGAGCAACAGCUCUAUGAAUCAAUAAAUUGACACAUUUGACCCAAUUACUUGAUCAACGAAACAAGUUACCCUAGGGAUAACAGCGCAAUCCACUUCAAGAGCCCUUAUCAACAAGUGGGUUUACGACCUCGAUGUUGGAUCAGGGUAUCCCAGUGGUGCAGCCGCUACUAAAGGUUUGUUUGUUCAACAAUUAAAACCCUACGUGAUCUGAGU
rnacentral:rRNA from 1 species